rnacentral:rRNA from 1 species
UACGAAGGGGGCUAGCGUUGCUCGGAAUCACUGGGCGUAAAGGGUGCGUAGGCGGGUCUUUAAGUCAGGGGUGAAAUCCUGGAGCUCAACUCCAGAACUGCUUGAUACUGAGGAUCUUGAGUUCGGGAGAGGUGAGUGGAACUGCGAGUGUAGAGGUGAAAUUCGUAGAUAUUCGCAAGAACACCAGUGGCGAAGGCGGCUCACUGGCCCGGUACUGACGCUGAGGUGCGAAAGCGUGGGGAGCAAACAGGG